rnacentral:lncRNA from 1 species
GAAGAGGGCUGGCCGGAAGAGGCGGGGCCUACAGGAGCGCCUUAGGGUCGCGCACGCUGGGCCACUUCCUUUCUCGGCAGCGCCGUAGAGCGCGAGCAGACGGUGCAGCAUGGCGCACAGCGGAGGCCGCGGGCGGCCGAACCCGGCGUGUCCUUGGGCGUUUCCAGGUGCAACAAAACCUGCUCAUUUGAAGGUGCUUGAACAAAUAUUUUCUAAACACUUGUCAUGGAGAGUGAUUGAAACAAGCUGCCAGGACUACAUUUGCCAAUAACAAGCAUGUAGGUGGCUGUAGUGGAUGUCCAACUUUGGGAGCUGUGAUGUCUAAAAACCCUUUAUUGUUUUGGGUGCAGCUUACAUAUUGGAAGGUAAAAUGAAGGCCAUGAACAAAGUCAAGAAGCCAUAAACAGAAGCAAAUGUUUCUGUCAGAUAUGUUGAUACAGCAUUGGAGCUCUGACUGGCGACCUCACCUGAGUUCUAUCCCCUGAGCCCAUGUGGUGGAAGAGGAAAACAUAGAGGCAACCAUUGUCCUCUGUAGGCUCUGGUGGAAUAAGCAUGACCACCCCUCAAAUAAAAACGGUAAGUGUAAAAAGAAAAAAAUCUGACUUAGCGCUGAGGGAACCCUGAGGAGAUGCGGAGACCAAGG